ACGAACGCUGGCGGCAGGCUUAACACAUGCAAGUCGAGCGAGGCCUUCGGGUCUAGCGGCGGACGGGUGAGUAACGCGUGGGAACGUGCCCUCUUCUUCGGAAUAGCCCUGGGAAACUGGGAGUAAUGCCGAAUACGCCCGAAAGGGGAAAGAUUUAUCGGAGGAGGAUCGGCCCGCGUUGGAUUAGGUAGUUGGUGGGGUAAUGGCCUACCAAGCCGACGAUCCAUAGCUGGUUUGAGAGGAUGACCAGCCACACUGGGACUGAGACACGGCCCAGACUCCUACGGGAGGCAGCAGUGGGGAAUCUUGGACAAUGGGGGCAACCCUGAUCCAGCCAUGCCGCGUGAUCGAUGAAGGCCUUAGGGUUGUAAAGAUCUUUCAGCGGGGAAGAUAAUGACGGUACCCGCAGAAGAAGCCCCGGCUAACUCCGU
rnacentral:rRNA from 1 species